AUGUUGUAUGAAAGGACAGAAGGUUAGCACUCCCCUUGAUAAGGAUGGAAGAGGCCCUUGUGGCCUAUACAACAUGAAAAUUCCUCUGGUCUUGGACCAGGAAAUCUGCUCC
rfam:Picoides pubescens contig50852, whole genome shotgun sequence.